GCUUGCAGCCAUAUCACAUUGAAUACACUGGUUCUUGUCCAAUCUCCAAAGUUAAGCGGUGUUGAGCCUAGUACCUAGAUGGGUGACCACUUGGGAAGCCUAAGUGUUGUAAGCA
rnacentral:rRNA from 1 species